rnacentral:misc_RNA from 1 species
GAUGAAGAACGUAGCGAAAUGCGAUACGUAAUGUGAAUUGCAAAUUCAGUGAAUCAUCGAGUCUUUGAACGCACAUUGCGCCCCCUGGUAUUCCGGGGGGCAUGCCUGUCCGAGCGUCAUUGCUGCCCUCAAGCACGGCUUGUGUGUUGGGCCCCGUCCUCCGAUCCCGGGGGACGGGCCCGAAAGGCAGCGGCGGCACCGCGUCCGGUCCUCGAGCGUAUGGGGCUUUGUCACCCGCUCUGUAGGCCCGGCCGGCGCUUGCCGAUCAACCCAAAUUUUUAUCCAGGUUGACCUCGGAUCAGGUAGGGACACCCGCUGAACUUAAGCAUAUCAAUAAGCGGAGGA